CGGACGGGUGAGUAAUACAUCGGAACGUGUCCUAAAGUGGGGGAUAACGCAUCGAAAGAUGUGCUAAUACCGCAUAAUCUCUGAGGAGAAAAGUAGGGGAUCGAAAGACCUUAUGCUUUUGGAGCGGCUGAUGUCUGAUUAGCUAGUUGGUAAGGUUAUGGCUUACCAAGGCGACGAUCAGUAGUUGGUCUGAGAGGACGACCAGCCACACUGGGACUGAGACACGGCCCAGACUCCCACGGGAGGCAGCAGUGGGGAAUUUUGGACAAUGGGCGCAAGCCUGAUCCAGCAAUGCCGCGUGAGUGAAGAAGGCCUUCGGGUUGUAAAGCUCUUUCAGUUGAAAAGAAAAAGUCGUGACUAAUAAUCAUGGCUCAUGACGGUAUCAACAGAAGAAGCACCGGCUAACUACGUGCCAGCAGCCGCGGUAAUACGUAGGGUGCAAGCGUUAAUCGGAAUUACUGGGCGUAAAGGGUGCGCAGGCGGUUCUGUAAGUCAGAUGUGAAAUCCCCGGGCUUAACCUGGGAACUGCGUUUGAAACUGCAGAGCUAGAGUGCGGCAGAGGGAGGUGGAAUUCCAUGUGUAGCAGUGAAAUGCGUAGAGAUAUGGAAGAACAUCGAUGGCGAAGGCAACCUCCUGGGCUAGCACUGACGCUCAUGCACGAAAGCGUGGGGAGCAAACAGGAUUAGAUACCCUGGUAGUCCACGCCCUAAACUAUGUCAACUAGUUGUCGGGUCUUAAUAGACUUGGUAACGUAGCUAACGCGUGAAGUUGACCG
rnacentral:rRNA from 1 species